rnacentral:tRNA from 1 species
GGUCGGUUGGUGAAGUGGUCAACACACUUGGUUCUCAUCCAAGCAUUACAGGGGUUCGAACCCCCUACCGACUA